ACAUUUUUCUUUGUCAUCACUCACGAUCUCCACCUCUUCCACUUCUUCUCCGCCAAAAUCUCGACUAUCUGUAUCUAUAAACUCUUUCGAUGGUCUUCUCAUCUUUUCACAUCGAUUAUUCUCCACAAUCAGGAAAAAGAGUUAAGAGACAAAGAUUGAAGAUUGAAGAUUCUCAUUGUCGACAAGUGGGUAAACGUGAGACAAUGACAAAUGUUGUUUUCAAAGAAAUAUUUAUAAAUCUGCAGGGUUAUGGAAGUUAGCAGUUCCCUAACUAUGACAACUAGAAUAGAAAUUGUGGAUGCAGCGGAUAACACAUGAUCAUGAUGAACCUUUUGUAUUUUCUCUAUAUUGUUCUCUGAUUUUUCUAUAUGCACCAGCAUCAUUAUAUCGAUGUUGUGAUUACUUAGGUGUUUAUUUUUAAGUUUGAUGAAAUACAGAAAUAUUGCCAAUAAAGCUUUAUGGAGCUUACUUCUUCGCCCCUUCCAUUUUCGACCAGUCACUUUCUCUCUCUAAGCUCACUUUAUGGAUAAUUCAUCCCUAUGUUCUUUGUAUGUGUUUGACGAAAAACAAAAAAUGUUCUUUGUAUGUAAUCGUGGGUUAAAGUA